rnacentral:rRNA from 1 species
UCUGAAAUUGCUGAAAAGGAAGCGAUUGGGACCUAGUAGAAUUUGGGGGAUGAAGUGGUUCUAACAUCGAGCCUUCUACCUUGUGACUGUAGUAGGAAUGAGGUAGUGGAUGGAUUUCGAUGAAUGGAUAAUGGAUUCCUCUAGAGAAGUCAGCAUGAGUUACGCUGGAGGAAACGAGAGACAUGGGAGGUAGGUUCUUUAUGGACUGUAUUAUAGACAUGUCUAGUAAUCUUCCUCGUGACUGAGGAGUGUUUGUAAACUCGGGCAACACUUUCGAGUACUCGGGUUUUGUGAUGCUGGCUGAAACGGUUUCAACCGACCCGUCUUGAAACACGGACCAAGGAGUCUAACAUAUGUGCGAGUAUGCGGGUUGCAAACCUGUAUGCACAAUGAAAGUAAGAGUAGAGAAGGAGGCAGUUUUGCUGUGUCCUGCAUCUACGACCGACCACGAUCUAAGAGAGAGGUUUGAGUUGAAGCAUAUCUGUUAGGACCCGAAAGAUGGUGAACUAUGCCUGAGUAGAAUGAAGUCAGGGGAAACCCUGAUGGAGGUUCGUAGCGAUACUGACGUGCAAAUCGUUCGUCAAACUUGGGUAUAGGGGCGAAAGACUAAUCGAACCAUCUAGUAGCUGGA